rnacentral:rRNA from 1 species
ACGAACGCUGGCGGCGUGCUUAACACAUGCAAGUCGAACGGAAAGGCCCUGCUUUUGUGGGGUGCUCGAGUGGCGAACGGGUGAGUAACACGUGAGUAACCUGCCCUUGACUUUGGGAUAACUUCAGGAAACUGGGGCUAAUACCGGAUAGGAGCUCCUGCUGCAUGGUGGGGGUUGGAAAGUUACGGCGGUUGGGGAUGGACUCGCGGCUUAUCAGCUUGUUGGUGGGGUAGUGGCUUACCAAGGCUUUGACGGGUAGCCGGCCUGAGAGGGUGACCGGCCACAUUGGGACUGAGAUACGGCCCAGACUCCUACGGGAGGCAGCAGUGGGGAAUAUUGCACAAUGGGCGGAAGCCUGAUGCAGCAACGCCGCGUGCGGGAUGACGGCCUUCGGGUUGUAAACCGCUUUCGCCUGUGACGAAGCGUGAGUGACGGUAAUGGGUAAAGAAGCACCGGCUAACUACGUG